GGCGUUGUGCCAGAUAAAAUGGGUCAUCUUGAUGCGGUGAAUUAUAGGAUUAUUGCCUCGACGUUU
rnacentral:tRNA from 1 species